ACUCCUGCGGGAGGCAGCAGUGGGGAAUUUUGGACAAUGGGCGAAAGCUUGAUCCAGCAAUGCCGCGUGUGUGAAGAAGGCCUUCGGGUUGUAAAGCACUUUUGUCCGGAAAGAAAUCCUUGGCUCUAAUACAGUCGGGGGAUGACGGUACCGGAAGAAUAAGCACCGGCUAACUACGUGCCAGCAGCCGCGGUAAUACGUAGGGUGCGAGCGUUAAUCGGAAUUACUGGGCGUAAAGCGUGCGCAGGCGGUUUGCUAAGACCGAUGUGAAAUCCCCGGGCUCAACCUGGGAACUGCAUUGGGGACUGGCAGGCUAGAGUAUGGCAGAGGGGGGUAGAAUUCCACGUGUAGCAGUGAAAUGCGUAGAGAUGUGGAGGAAUACCGAUGGCGAAGGCAGCCCCCUGGGCCAAUACUGACGCUCAUGCACGAAAGCGUGGGGAGCAAACAGGAUUAGAAACCCCGGUAGUCCC
rnacentral:rRNA from 1 species